CAUUUUUUGUUAAGAGUGUGAUAUAACUGUUUUACAGCAGACUCCUUUGCAUCACUGGAAUACAGUCCAAUGUCUGUGUCAGAUGAGCAAAGGACACAAAAAGCAAGCUCACGGUUUGUUAGUGACCCGCCAACCCAUUUCACCAGAGGGGCAGGAGUUCUGAAGUACAGUCGGGAGCCUGAAAGCAUGGACAUACUGGCAUCCCUCCCAGAGGUCCAGCAGCAAAGAAACUCCCCAAUAAAGUGUGCCUAUUGUGGGGAAAAUCCCUACCCCUCACUGGAUUCACCAGGGAUACAGGAUCCAGAGAUAGCGCCACGGUUCUGCUGUGCCCAGCGCCAGCAUCUGUGCCAGAAGCUGAAGAUAAAGAGAUUCCUGUUUGAGGCUGGAUGUGAGGGGAGGAUUUGUAAUCUGAUGUCGGAGAAUGACCAGCC